UACGUAGGGGGCAAGCGUUGUUCGGAAUUACUGGGCGUAAAGCGUGCGCAGGCGGUGAUGUAAGACAGAUGUGAAAUCCCCGGGCUCAACCUGGGACCUGCAUUUGUGACUGCAUCGCUGGAGUGCGGCAGAGGGGGAUGGAAUUCCGCGUGUAGCAGUGAAAUGCGUAGAUAUGCGGAGGAACACCGAUGGCGAAGGCAAUCCCCUGGGCCUGCACUGACGCUCAUGCACGAAAGCGUGGGGAGCAAACAGG
rnacentral:rRNA from 1 species